CCCAUAAAGGUAACUGGUGAAGAACCCGGGCAGCACGGAAACUCCUGAGGAGUCACAGGUGUGUUGUUGUUGUUGUCCUCCUUCAGAGGAGUCAUAAGUGUGUUGUUGUCCUUCAGAGGAGUCACAGGUGUGUUGUUGUCCUCAGAGGAGUCACAGGUGUGUUGUUGUUGUCCUCCUUUAGUCACAGGUGUGUUGUUGUCCUCAGUGGAGUCACAGGUGUGUUGUUGUCCUCCUUUAGUCACAGGUGUGUUGUUGUCCUCAGUGGAGUCACAGGUGUGUUGUUGUUGUCCUCCUUUAGUCACAGGUGUGUUGUUGUCCUUCAGAGGAGUCACAGGUGUGUUGUUGUCCUUCAGAGGAGUCACAGGUGUGUUGUCCUCCUUCAGAGGAGUCAUAGGUGUGUUGUUGUUGGCCUUCA
ensembl:lncRNA